CAAAUAGCGGCAGCGCGCGUCGCCGAGGCGGCCGAACACUCGGCUCGACGGUCGCCAGUCCGCGCCCGACGCCCGACGCCCGAGCGCUCCGCACGCCCAGCGCCUCGCGCCUCCGAGCCCGCGACCUCACGCACCGACACCACCGAUCGCGCGCGAACCCUAACAUAAAUGUGAACCACCCUAUGCCUUAACACUACGUACGUACCCCGGCUUAACUUCCUUACCAAUAGUGAGCUAAACCGUUAAACCUUUGUGCAAUUGUGAUCCUUUUAUGCAAUCCUGGCCUCAUCAGCGCUGGUGAUUCAAGUCUUGGCGAGCACGUGGCUCCAGGAUCGAUAGCGGAUACUAUCCUCUUCAUUGUCUAUCACACAUCAAGGUCACCACGGCAGAUUGGUGGGGCACGCGUGCGCAUUGUCUGGAGCCGAUGAGGCGGCGGCGCUUGGCGCCAUGAGCUAGCGGGGAUGGGGGGCGAGGGGGCGGGCCGCGGCGCCGCGCGCUGGCACGUGGGCGACUCGCCCCCGCGCGCGCCCAUGGGCUUCGCGGCGCCCGCGCAGGAUGCGCCGCUGGACCGCGGGCUGGCGCCGGCGCCCGCGCCCGCGCCCGCCGGCAAUGCCGUGCUCCAGCGGACACACUCCAGGUCGAUGUCGUCGCUACCACCGGAGCCGUUUAUGAUGCUCCGCGCGAAGGCGCUGAGCAAGCGAGUGAUCAUCAACGUGGGCGGCGUGCGGCACGAGGUGCUCUGGCGCACGCUGGAGCGGCUGCCGCACACCAGGCUCGGCCGGCUCCGGGACUGCAACACUCACGAGGCCAUCACGGAAAUCUGCGACGACUACUCGUUACAAGACAACGAGUAUUUUUUCGAUAGGCACCCGAAGAGUUUCAGUUCAAUACUCAAUUUCUAUCGGACUGGAAAGUUACAUUUAGUGGAUGAAAUGUGUGUGUUGGCGUUUAGCGACGAUCUCGAGUAUUGGGGCGUGGACGAACUGUACCUGGAGUCGUGUUGUCAGCACAAGUACCAUCAGCGCAAGGAGCACGUGCACGAGGAGAUGAGGAAGGAAGCCGAGAGCUUGCGGCAGCGCGAGGAAGAGGAGUUCGGUCAGGGCACGUGCGCUCAGUACCAGAAGUGGCUCUGGGACCUCCUCGAGAAGCCCACCACCAGUAUAGCAGCCAGGGUGAUCGCGGUCAUCUCGAUCCUCUUCAUCGUGCUGUCCACGAUAGGGCUCACUCUCAACACGAUACCCCAGAUGCAAGUGUACGACGACAAGGGCGCGCCCAUGGAUAACCCGCAGCUGGCCAUGGUCGAGGCGGUGUGCAUCACGUGGUUCACACUCGAGUACGUGCUGCGGUUCAGUGCUUCACCGGAUAAAUGGAAGUUCUUCAAGGGUGGACUCAACGUGAUAGACUUACUGGCUAUAUUGCCUUAUUUUGUAUCUCUUUUCCUGCUCGAAACCAAUAAGAACGCCACUGAUCAGUUUCAAGACGUGCGUCGUGUUGUGCAAAUUUUCCGUAUUAUGCGAAUAUUGCGCAUCCUUAAACUUGCCCGACACUCGACCGGGCUACAGUCGCUCGGGUUUACGCUCAGAAACUCCUAUAAGGAGCUUGGAUUGCUCAUGUUGUUCCUUGCGAUGGGAGUACUCAUAUUCUCCUCAUUGGCAUAUUUCGCUGAGAAAGAAGAGCCGGGAACUAAAUUUAUUUCCAUUCCGGAAACGUUUUGGUGGGCCGGCAUCACCAUGACCACAGUCGGAUACGGUGACAUUUACCCCACGACCCCGUUGGGCAAGGUCAUCGGCUCAGUUUGCUGUAUUUGCGGCGUGUUGGUAAUUGCGUUACCCAUCCCUAUUAUCGUCAACAAUUUCGCCGAGUUUUACAAGAACCAGAUGCGGCGCGAAAAGGCGCUCAAACGACGAGAGGCGCUCGAACGUGCCAAGCGCGAGGGCUCCAUCGUAUCCUUCCACCACAUUAACUUGCGAGACGCGUUCGCCAAGAGCAUGGACCUCAUCGACGUCAUCGUGGACACAGGACACAACUUGUCGCAGGCGGACGCCACUAGCCUGGAGGGCGAGGCCCCGGCCACCACGGGCUGCUACAAACAGUACGAACACUCUAUCACCAGUAAGCUGCCUCAGAGUACUGACCCCAGCCAGUUUCAGAGCAGCCCUCAGAAAGAGCGUCGUUACUCGAACGAGGGGCUCGGUUCACCGGAGAAACGCUUGCUCAUAAAUCCUGAACCUACACCAGAAAAGAAGAUGGCUGACAAACAGCUUGACUUGGAUCAGCUGCCUUCUGAGUUUGAAUGUUGUUUUUGCACGUUCAAGGGUUAUAAGGAGUUCAUUGACGCGGAGCAGCUGAUGCCCAUGUCGACGUCGGACCUGCGACAGCCCGUGUGCGUGGAGCUGGCGUGUCUGCAGCGACACCCCGCGCCCAAGGCGCUGCCCGAAGCCACGCCCAACAGCCUCGACAGCCCAGAUACAUUUGCAUCAUGCCUUACGCACCCUUUUCCUUCAGAGGGCGACAUCGCAUGCGAGAACGACUCUUCAAACUUGUAUGUGAAUCCUCUGGACGGUAGCGGCGGUGGCGGCGCGGGUGGGGGUGGGGGCGGGGUGUCCGCAGAGUAUAAUGGAGUGCGCAGGAGUGCAUCUGGGGAUGGAAGCGUGUUGUGUGCCAAAGGUUCACAGGGCGAAGUGUCGCCGCUCGGCUCGCGCGUCAGCCUGACGGGCGCGGGCGCGGCGCCGGGGGCGGGGGCGGUGGCCCGGCCGCUGGACGCGUCGCGCACGAGUCUGCCGCAGCCGCUGGACGAAGCGCCCGCCGCCGCCGACGACGCCAAGCCCAAACACAGAAAGGCUCGCUUCCAACAGGUAAGAAUGGCAACAAGCGCGGCGGCGGCUGGCCGCUAGAGGGCGACUCUCGCUCGCGCUCCAUACUCAAGAACAAGGAGUCGAGGGGCACUGACAGCGAGCUGCUACUCCAGGAGACCACCUCGCUCGGUGCCAACGGCGAUUCUGGCAGCGAGUCGUCGCCGAUUAGAUUGAAAGACUUCAAGGGGCAGAACCACAAGGGCGGCGCCGCGGAGAGAGACAACCUAGUCACGUAGUUAGUGUGUAGAGGGCGCUUCUCGCUUGACAUGCCUCGCCCCACACACGACGCGAACAUUAAUACUUAGAAUGCAAUAACAUAAAAUUAUAUACAAAUAAUUUUAACAUAUCAUUGGGCGAUUGUGACUGCUUGUUGAAUAGAUUUUCAUUUCGUAGAAUUAUAAAUAUUGUAAAAAAUAUUACUUAUUGUAAUAAUCGUUCAUUCCAAUCGAAAAGUUGAAGAAACCUAUUUGUUAAGUUUUUUUACGUGCAAUUAUUAAUUGCUAAUUUUAAUGUAAGCGAUAUAGUUUGUACAGCAUAGUUGAUGAAAAAUGAAGCAAUUAUUAAAAUUAAACAUUUUCUGAAAUUGUUA
rnacentral:misc_RNA from 1 species